rnacentral:lncRNA from 1 species
GGAUUUAUGAACGUGGAGUUACGACCGCUUUAAAUCCCUGGUAACCCAAAGUGAAGCCAUUUGUGGGGUCGAGAGACGGAAGAGGUUCGUCUGGGACAGGAUCAAAUCGAAACUUCUUGAUCAAAGCAGCUGUGAAGAGAAAAACCAUCGUCAUUUAAAUGACGUUCCGGACGGAACACUUCCGGAUCUUUCCAGUACUUGGAAUCCUGAAAUACAGCAUGCAGAUUCAGGCUGACCAAACUUCCCUGGUCAUCAUUGGAAAAAAUACUAUGCGUAAUGAGGAGGAGUGAGUGGUGCAAUGGUGCUGCAACGUUGAGCUUCCAUCAGAACUGCUUCAGUAUAAGACAAAAAGGAAAACAUACCUGGAACGAUGGUUAAUGGUAGGAAAAAAUUCUCCACAGACUUGGUCCAAUUCCAUUUGCAUCUUUUGUUGUACCUGCUGAUCUCGAACCAAAUGAAUAAUGGCAAAACCUGAGUGCCAAAACAAUUAGAAAACAAUAAAAAAAAACAAGUGCGCCAUUCGUUGCAAAGGACAUUUACCGAUUGAACCGCUUGUUGACUCAGCACCUGCACCGAAUAGGUCUAUUAUCGUCGAAAUGAGCUGCUUUUCUAUUGGAAAUGAUAAUUUAACUGCACUAAAAAUUCAAUUACAAACUAUUACAUCAUCCAACCUGUGAAAUUUGUUGAUGGAUUCUCGUCCUUCUGUUUUUUCAUUUCUUUCAGGUAGACGUCUAUGAAAUCACCAGCUUCAUCGUCUGAUGGAUUUCGUUGUUGAUGAUCUUCAAUAGUUUCCUAUCUCCAACUUCGCCCAUCAUCUGAUCUUCAAUGGAAGUUUUGCCGAACCCCAAGUCUCUGAGAUGUCUCAUAGUGAAUCGACGCUGUUCUUGCCAAAAUUGACCCAUGACAAACAUAAUGCCUGGAGAUGGAUUCCCCAACAGCCAUCAUGACAGCUAAAUCUGGGCGACCGUUAAGGUCGUCAUUAAGCAUCGCUUCUUUCAUCGCUUCGUGACUGCAAACGGAAAUAACAGGCCUGCUGGGCCCCACGUACAAUCCCACCACAGAAUGAAUCUCUCUUAUCCACUGCUGUCUGUUUGGUUGCAGAUGUGCGACUAAAUUUUGAAUCAAUUUCCAUGCAGUCAUGUCCGGCGUUUUCCUCCUUGGAAACUGUUGCUGCGGACUUUCUCGCCUAUGGAAGCUACUCUGUACGGUCCGUAGUUGGGUUGUUACUUUCUAAUUUUAUCCUUGUUCCACAUUUUACCGUGAGUAUUUUGUCCCCGUAAGCUGUGAGAUGACUAACUUACAUAAUCCUUUUCCAAGUCAAUUCAUCGAGCCAAAUGUCGAGACAUUUAACGUUUCUAUUCAGUUUUGUCUGCUUAUUUGUAUGGUGCUUAACUUGAGUUUUCUACAGACAGUAACCGGAAACCGAAGCUUCGCCGCGAUUAACUUUGGUAUCUCAUAGGUCCAACACGGAUUCCUAGUUAGUCGUCAAAUUCAUUUUUUUUCCCCUAGUGGAUGCAACAUUAUCCGACCAGACAAAGGAACUAUAUGGAUUAACUCCCUGGACAUUGCUGGAUCGUUUUGGCACUUAGUGCUUUGUAAGGUAAAUUACUUCUUUGCUUACAUGACAUUUUUUUACGCAUUUUGAAUGAAAAGAAGCGUAGCCCUGUGAGGUGAGCAAGUCUCGUAAAAACCAUUUGCUUAUCAGGUUUUAGCUGAGAAUUAUUUCUUCACAAAUAGGUCGGUCACAAAUACCGUCACAUCCACGAUGAGGCAUCAGGUGAGAUUUUUAACGUGUACAAAUCGUAUAUACCUGUCUAUGAUCUUGACCUAAAGUUAUCUCUUGGUUAUUGGAACCUUAUUACGAAUGAGCUACUGUACGUUCUACCACUUUGGUAUUACCAAGGGAAUGGCUUCCACCUGCAAUUGUAUAGAACGUCUAUUAGAUCGAGUGCGCGUUAUUGAGGGCAUUGUACGUUUCUGCUUUAGCUGCUGAGUUGAAUUUGGGAAAUUCAUUUUUUUAAGUGAAGAGACAUUGUGUUAAAUGAUGGUAUUUUAUUAAAGCAAUGCAUAACGUAAAUUGUGUAUCGAGUAAGAAUCGGUGGAUUUCAGAUGCAUUAGAAUUCUGAUGGUGGUGAAAUUCGAAGCCGAGACUUUCUCAGUAUAAGAUUGUUAAACUUUGGGUUCCAAUCUCAUUCAUCCGCGUCCUUGAAAAGAAGGGAACAUUCAAACUAAUGUUAUUCGUUUAUCUUCUUAAAUAUUCUCCAUCCAUUGUAUUUUUGCCAGGCGUAACAUAGCAUCAUCGUAGCAUUUUUCUAUUUUUAUUUUUAUUUCUCUCUCAAUUUGAUAGGAACAAGUUAGGAAGUUUAUAGGAAAUUAAAUGCAUAAAUAGCAUUAUGGCAAGUAGACAAUAAAGGAGAUACUACGUGAAAAAGAGGGGGGGGAGUUAAUCCUUGUAAAUUUUUUUCAGCAGGAUUUUCCGUGGAACUCACGGUCGAGGAGUAACGACCGCUUUAAAGCCCUGAUAACCCAAAGUAAACCCGUUCGUUGGGUCUAGAGACGGAAGUGGUUCGUUUGGUACUGGCUCAAAUCGAAACUUCUUGAUCAAUGCAGCUGUGAAGAGAAAAUAGCAAAUAAUUGAUUUUGUUUUACGUACCGAUGCCAAAUGGAUUGAAAUGCUCACUUUUAAUUACCUUAGUGCCAUCGUCAUUCAAAUGGCGUUCCGGACGGAACACUUCCGGAUCUUUCCAGUAUUUGGAAUCUUGAAAAACGGCAUACAGAUUCAGGCUGAGCAGACUUCCCUAUACCUUGAAGCUUUGUGUCUUUGACAGCAUAAUGAGGGACAGUUAAUGGUGCAAUUGAGCUGCAACGUUGAGCUUCCAUCAGAACUGCUUCAGUAUAAGGUAAACGUCUAUGAAAUCGCAAGCUUCAUCGUCGGACAGGUUUCUAUGUCGAUGGUCUUCAAUGGUUUUCUGUAACCAUACAGUUAUGUUUGAAUUUAAUAAUGGAAAUUCACUUAAGCGAAAACGUUUUAAAAGAAAUACCGGAAUUGGAAAGAUGCUUUGAAAAACCUUGCCUGUCCGGAAAAAUAGCUCAUUAGCUCCUAGAAGCUCUUGAAAUUUGGGAUCGUGACCCUGAAAACGUUCGCCUGAAGAAAUAAAAAGAUCUCCUACCUCCCCCAUCAUCUGGUCUUCAAUAGAAGUUUUGCCGAACCCCAAGUCUCUGAGAUGUCUUAAAGUGAACCGGCGCUGUUCCUGCCAAAAUUGGCCCAUGACAAACAUAAUCCCUGUAAUUGAAUUUAUCAUCAAAAGAGUAUCAUCCUAUUGGGGCAUUGAAAGUUAAGUAAAAAAAUUACCUAGUCCUUCUCCAAAUGUUCUAGCCAUCAUGAUAGCUAAUUCAGGACGGCCACUGAGAUCGUCAUUAAGCAUCGCCUCUUUUAUGGCUUCGUGACCGCAAACGGAAAUUAUUGGCUGGGUAGGUCCCACAUACGUACCCACCACAGGUCCGUAGACUUCGCCCAUCUUUUUCAUCGCCUUGUGCGGAUAUUGUGGAUCCCAUGACGAAUAAAAAGGCAAAUAACCUACCAGAGGCAAACCCCUCGGACCUCCGUACCAAAAGAAUCAUUCAGCAUCGUAUUUAGUUUAAUUCGUAAUAGUUUUACUUCCUUUUUUUACUUUGGGGAAAGUUUUUUGGUCUUUGCGUCGCCUUUACAAUGAGGCCGAUAAGCACAAUCGUUACACAAAGUUCAAAAAUCAUUCUCUUAAAAUCUAAUUUUUCAGAUUUAAUUUUCCUGUAGUGUUGUUUUCUUGGUUGCAGAUGUAACGACUAAAUUUUUAUUGUGGCAUUCGCUCCCUUAUGAAGUUGCAAGUCACGUCCUCCGCUUUUAUCUUUGGAAAGUGUUGCUAUGGGCCUUUUCUCUCGUACAAGAGCCACUCUUCACGAUACGUAGUGGGGUCGCUACUUUCUAAUUUUAUCCUUGUUCUGAUUUUUACUGGGAGAAGAUUGUCCCUGUAAGCUAUGAGAUGAUAACUAGUAUAUAAAGCAAUCUUUGUGUUUAAUUGCUUGCAGGCUACGAUUUCUAUCCUUUUUCAAGUCAUGUCAUCAAACAAUCUGUCAAGAACUGUUUCAUUUGACAGUGUCUGCUUAUUUAUUUGUUGUUCUACCUCUUCUGUUUUACAGCCCGUAAUGGGAACCGGAAAUCAGAUUAACCGGUUUACCUUCGUGUCUCGUAGCCUAAAAUGGAUUCCAAGUCAGUAAACAAAUUCAGUUUCUUCUAGUGGACAUAUUUUUUGUGUUUUAGCAUGGUCUUUACCUUUUCAACGGACAUGAUAGUAAGGGAGGAAUUCCAAAUUUGUUUGCCGUUCUCUUGUUCAGAUUGCCACUUCCCAAAAAUCCAUAACCACUCAAUAUGGACAUUCGAAGAGGACAGACAAACACAUUUUACCGGAUAAUGAACAGGUGGAACUGGAUACAUUACAUAACUGCACAAAGUAAUCAACACUGGACAUUUACUGGAUUUAAGGCCUUGUACGUGGGAAUAAGUAUUAACGCGUUGCAAAUCCAGUAGUGUAUCAGUGACAACAAGACAAAGAAGAUAAAAAUGCAAGAAAAAAGUGAAAGGCGAAGAUUUUCUUGUCGUAGUCCAUCGAAUUCACGAACGAAGAGUAACGACCGCUUUAAAGCCCUGGUAGCCCAAAGUAAAUCCAUUCGUGGGGGCGAGAGACGGAAGAGGUCCGUUGGGUACUGGCUCGAAUCGAAACUUCUUGAUUAAAGCAGCUGUGAAGAGAAAUGCAAAACAACCGAAGUGGACUAAUACCAAGGCCAAAAGGAUAGAAAUGGUCGUUUUUAAUCACUUUGGUGCCGUCUUCAUUCAAAUGGCGUUCCGGACGGAACACUUCCGGUUCAUUCCAGUAUUUAGGAUUCUUGAAAACUGCAUCCAGAUUCAGCAUUACAACACUGUCCUGUUUACAUUAGCAAAUUGGAAACCCUGGAUCGUUGUGUCUUUGACAGCAUAAUGAGGCACAGUUAAUGGUGCAAUUGAGCUGCAACGCUGGGCUUCCAUAAGAACUGCUUCAGUAUAAGGUAA